GACGAACGCUGGCGGCGUGCCUAAUACAUGCAAGUCGAACGAUAGCGCCCGGUGCUUGCACUGGUCAAUCUAGUGGCGAACGGGUGAGUAACACGUGGGGAACCUUCCCAUCAGAGGGGGAUAACAUCCGGAAACGGAUGCUAAAACCGCAUAGGUCUUCGAACCGCAUGGUUUGAAGAGGAAAAGAGGCGCAAGCUUCUGCUGAUGGAGGGACCCGCGGUGCAUUAGCUAGUUGGUGAGGUAACGGCUCACCAAGGCCGUGAUGCAUAGCCGGCCUGAGAGGGUGAUCGGCCACAUUGGGACUGAGACACGGCCCAAACUCCUACGGGAGGCAGCAGUAGGGAAUCUUCCGCAAUGGACGCAAGUCUGACGGAGCAACGCCGCGUGAGUGAAGAAGGUGUUCGGAUCGUAAAACUCUGUUGUUAGAGAAGAACAAGUGCUAGAGUAACUGUUAGCGCCUUGACGGUAUCUAACCAGAAAGCCACGGCUAACUACGUG
rnacentral:rRNA from 1 species